GAUGAACGCUGGCGGCGUGCCUAAUACAUGCAAGUCGAGCGAACGGACGAGAAGCUUGCUUCUCUGAUGUUAGCGGCGGACGGGUGAGUAACACGUGGAUAACCUACCUAUAAGACUGGGAUAACUUCGGGAAACCGGAGCUAAUACCGGAUAAUAUUUUGAACCGCAUGGUUCAAAAGUGAAAGACGGUCUUGCUGUCACUUAUAGAUGGAUCCGCGCUGCAUUAGCUAGUUGGUAAGGUAACGGCUUACCAAGGCAACGAUGCAUAGCCGACCUGAGAGGGUGAUCGGCCACACUGGAACUGAGACACGGUCCAGACUCCUACGGGAGGCAGCAGUAGGGAAUCUUCCGCAAUGGGCGAAAGCCUGACGGAGCAACGCCGCGUGAGUGAUGAAGGUCUUCGGAUCGUAAAACUCUGUUAUUAGGGAAGAACAUAUGUGUAAGUAACUGUGCACAUCUUGACGGUACCUAAUCAGAAAGCCACGGCUAACUACGUGCCAGCAGCCGCGGUAAUACGUAGGUGGCAAGCGUUAUCCGGAAUUAUUGGGCGUAAAGCGCGCGUAGGCGGUUUUUUAAGUCUGAUGUGAAAGCCCACGGCUCAACCGUGGAGGGUCAUUGGAAACUGGAAAACUUGAGUGCAGAAGAGGAAAGUGGAAUUCCAUGUGUAGCGGUGAAAUGCUCAGAGAUAUGGAGGAACACCAGUGGCGAAGGCGACUUUCUGGUCUGUAACUGACGCUGAUGUGCGAAAGCGUGGGGAUCAAACAGGAUUAGAUACCCUGGUAGUCCACGCCGUAAACGAUGAGUGCUAAGUGUUAGGGGGUUUCCGCCCCUUAGUGCUGCAGCUAACGCAUUAAGCACUCCGCCUGGGGAGUACGACCGCAAGGUUGAAGCUCAAAGGAAUUGACGGGGACCCGCACAAGCGGUGGAGCAUGUGGUUUAAUUCGAAGCAACGCGAAGAACCUUACCAAAUCUUGACAUCCUUUGACAACUCUAGAGAUAGAGCCUUCCCCUUCGGGGGACAAAGUGACAGGUGGUGCAUGGUUGUCGUCAGCUCGUGUCGUGAGAUGUUGGGUUAAGUCCCGCAACGAGCGCAACCCUUAAGCUUAGUUGCCAUCAUUAAGUUGGGCACUCUAAGUUGACUGCCGGUGACAAACCGGAGGAAGGUGGGGAUGACGUCAAAUCAUCAUGCCCCUUAUGAUUUGGGCUACACACGUGCUACAAUGGACAAUACAAAGGGCAGCGAAACCGCGAGGUCAAGCAAAUCCCAUAAAGUUGUUCUCAGUUCGGAUUGUAGUCUGCAACUCGACUACAUGAAGCUGGAAUCGCUAGUAAUCGUAGAUCAGCAUGCUACGGUGAAUACGUUCCCGGGUCU
rnacentral:rRNA from 1 species